GGAAUUGACGGGACCCGCACAAGCGGUGGAACAUGUGGUUUAAUUCGACGCAAAGCGAAAAACCUCACCAAGGUUUGACAUACCAAUCGUAUCCCUAAGAAACUAGGGAGUCAGUUCGGCUGGAUUGGAUACAGGUGUUGCAUGGCUGUCGUCAGCUCGUGUCGUGAGAUGUCGGGUUAAGUCCUUUAACGAGCGCAACCCUCAUUGCAUGUUAAUUUUUCAUGCGAGACUGCCCUGGUUAACAGGGAGGAAGGUGGGGAUGACGUCAAGUCAGCAUGGCCCUUACACCUUGGGCUACACACGUGUUACAAUGGCCGGUACAAUAAGUCGCAAUACCGUAAGGUGGAGCUAAUCUAUGAAAACCGGUCCCAGUUCGGAUUGGGGGCUGAAACUCGCCCCCAUGAAGUCGGAAUCGCUAGUAACCGUGAAUCAGAAUGUCACGGUGAAUACGUUCCCGGGUCUU
rnacentral:rRNA from 1 species